GAUGAACGCUGGCGGCGUGCCUAAUACAUGCAAGUCGAGCGAACAGAUGAGGAGCUUGCUCCUCUGACGUUAGCGGCGGACGGGUGAGUAACACGUGGAUAACCUACCUAUCAGACUGGGAUAACUUCGGGAAACCGGAGCUAAUACCGGAUAAUAUAUUGAACCGCAUGGUUCAAUAGUGAAAGACGGUUUUGCUGUCACUUAUAGAUGGAUCCGCGCCGCAUUAGCUAGUUGGUAAGGUAACGGCUUACCAAGGCAACGAUGCGUAGCCGACCUGAGAGGGUGAUCGGCCACACUGGAACUGAGACACGGUCCAGACUCCUACGGGAGGCAGCAGUAGGGAAUCUUCCGCAAUGGGCGAAAGCCUGACGGAGCAACGCCGCGUGAGUGAUGAAGGUCUUCGGAUCGUAAAACUCUGUUAUUAGGGAAGAACAAAUGUGUAAGUAACUAUGCACGUCUUGACGGUACCUAAUCAGAAGGCCACGGCUAACUACGUG
rnacentral:rRNA from 1 species